UAGGGAUGGGUAUCGUUAAGGUUUUAACGGUAUUAUCACCCUGGCCUUUUUUAGCACCAUGUACUUAUGUUUGAGCUACUGAGUUUGUUACAAACAACAUGAUUAUUUAAUUUAACACGCAAAAGUCUGAGUCUCGCUGUAUCGCUCAGGCUGCACUGCAGUGUCUAUUCACAGGCGCGACCCCACUACUGAUCGGCACGGGGGCUUUGACCUGCUCCGUCUCCGACCUGGGCCGGUUCACCCCUCCUUAGACGACCUGGUGGUCCCGAGCUCCCCCAGGAGCACCAUAUCGAUACCGAACUUAGCGCGGACACCCGAUCGACAUAGUCCACUGCAGCCCAGAACCCCUGAACUCAAGCGAUCCGCCAGCCUCAGCCUCCCAGCAGCUUGGAUUACAGGCGCGAUCCCGCUACUGAUCGGCACGGGGGCUUUGACCUGCUCCGUCUCCGACCUGGGCCGGUUCACCCCUCCUUAGACGACCUGGUGGUCCCGAGCUCCCCCAGGAGCACCAUAUCGAUACCGAACUUAGCGCGGACACCCGAUCGACAUAGUCCACUGCAGCCCAGAACCCCUGAACUCAAGCGAUCCGCCAGCCUCAGCCUCCCAGCAGCUUGGAUUACAGGCGCGCGCCACUGCACCCGGCGAGAGCUGUGAGCAUCAGCGCUGCUCCUCAAUCUAGUGCUCACUGCGCCCUCUAGUGCAGCACAGCAGGACACUACAGUAGACUGCCAUUAGCUGUUUUCAAAUAUGAGCAUAUUAUUAACUUAAAAUCAUAUUAUUAACUCAUCCACCUUUCAUUUGGAGCAGUUCUCAUUUAUUUUAAUACAUUUUUAUUUAAUCGUUAUUUUUAAUCUUUCUAUCUAUUUUCUAUAGCCUACCUUUGUAUUUUCUACAAGCUUGAUUAUUAAAUUGUUUGUAUUAUGUGUGUUUGUGUAGUAUCUAAAUUACAUGUGUAAAACAGGAUAGCCGAACAUAAUAAUUUACUGUAUACAAUAAUAGACUUAUCUCACAAUUCAUCAAUGAAAGCCAGUUAUGUUAUUUACCAAGGGCUGAAAAGAAAGUGUUUAUGUGUGAAAUAUCUCGAAGGCCACUUAUGAGAUGAAACCCCCAAAAUUAAUUUGUGAGAGUAAUUGAGAUUAUCUCGAGUUAAUUCUGCAUCUAGCACAUCAUGGGUCAAUACAAGAAAACACUGAAUCACUUAACUUAGGCUCAAAAGGGCUGUAUUUUGUGUUCUUUUUGUUGUUGCUGUUUCUUUAUUAUGGUAAGACAGGUCCUCAGAGAAUAAGGCAAAUACACAACGUCUGAGUCCUGCUAUGCUGCUCAGGCUGAACUUCAGCGUGUGUGUGUGUGUGUGGUUUGGAGUGGAUUUUUGUUUGUUAAUCAUUUAAAAAUUGCUAAAGGCAUUGUAUAUAUCUCCAGUCACUCCUCAGGUCCAGCAGAACUGCCUUGUUUUACAUGUCAUUUAAUCUAGUUCA
ensembl:lncRNA